rnacentral:rRNA from 1 species
GAUCUUGGUCAGAACGAACGCUGGCGGCGCGUUUAAGCAUGCAAGUCGAGCGGCAAGGGCCUUCGGGCCCCUAGAGCGGCGGACGGGUGAGUAACACGUGGACAAUCUGCCCCCCGGCCCGGGAUAGCCCAGGGAAACCUGGAUUAAUACCGGAUGAGACGGGACCCGCGAUGGCGGGACCCGGGAAAGGCGCUGCGGCGCCGCCGGGGGAUGAGUCUGCGUCCCAUUAGCUAGACGGCGGGGUAACGGCCCACCGUGGCGACGAUGGGUAGCCGGCCUGAGAGGGUGGACGGCCACAUUGGAACUGAGACACGGUCCAGACUCCUACGGGAGGCAGCAGCUAAGAAUCUUCCGCAAUGGGCGAAAGCCUGACGGAGCCGACGCCGCGUGAACGAAGAAGGCCGUGAGGUUGUAAAGUUCUUUUCGGGAGGGGGAACAACCGUGGCAGGGAAUGGCCGCGGGAUGACGUGAAUCCCGGAAUAAGCCCCGGCUAACUACGUGCCAGCAGCCGC